rnacentral:rRNA from 1 species
CCGCGAAACUGCGAAUGGCUCAUUAAAUCAGUUAUCGUCUAUUUGAUAGUACCUUACUACUUGGAUAACCGUGGUAAUUCUAGAGCUAAUACAUGCUGAAAACCCCGACUUCGGAAGGGAUGUAUUUAUUAGAUUAAAAACCAAUGCCCUCCGGGGCUCCCUGGUGAUUCAUGAUAACUUCUCGAAUCGCACGGCCUUGCGCCGGCGAUGGUUCAUUCAAAUUUCUGCCCUAUCAACUUUCGACGGCUGGGUCUUGGCCAGCCAUGGUGACAACGGGUAACGGAGGGUUAGGGCUCGACCCCGGAGAAGGAGCCUGAGAAACGGCUACUACAUCUAAGGAAGGCAGCAGGCGCGCAAAUUACCCAAUCCCGACGCGGGGAGGUAGUGACAAUAAAUACUGAUACAGGGCUCUUUAGGGUCGUGUAAUUGGAAUGAGUACAGUUUAAUUCCCUUAACGAGGAACAAUUGGAGGGCAAGUCUGGUGCCAGCAGCCGCGGUAAUUCCAGCUCCAAUAGCGUAUAUUAAAGUUGUUGCAGUUAAAAAGCUCGUAGUUGAACCUUGGGCCUGGCUGGCCGGUCCGCCUCACCGCGUGCACUGGUCCGGCCGGGCCUUUCCCUCUGGGGAGCCGCAUGCCCUUCACUGGGCGUGCCGGGGAACCAGGACGUUUACUUUGAAAAAAUUAGAGUGUUCAAAGCAGGCUUAUGCUCGGAUACAUUAGCAUGGAAUAAUGGAAUAGGACGUGCGGUUCUAUUUUGUUGGUUUCUAGGACCGCCGUAAUGAUUAAUAGGGACAGUCGGGGGCAUCAGUAUUCAAUUGUCAGAGGUGAAAUUCUUGGAUUUAUUGAAGACUAACUACUGCGAAAGCAUUUGCCAAGGAUGUUUUCAUUAAUCAGGAACGAAAGUUAGGGGAUCGAAGACGAUCAGAUACCGUCGUAGUCUUAACCAUAAACUAUGCCGACUAGGGAUCGGACGCUGUUGUCUUUUGACGCGUUCGGCACCUUACACGAAAGUACAAG